rnacentral:piRNA from 1 species
UUCCACUGGAUAAGUUGGUGCACUUACACUG